rnacentral:tRNA from 1 species
GCACCGCUAGCUCAACUGGUAGAGCAACUGACUCUUAAUCAGUAGGUUCGGGGUUCGAUUCCCCGGCGGUGUA